rnacentral:rRNA from 1 species
UACGUAGGGGGCAAGCGUUGUCCGGAAUCACUGGGCUUAAAGGGCGCGUAGGCGGGCUGUCAAGUCUGGGGUGAAAUCCCACGGCUCAACCGUGGAACUGCCUUAGAUACUGACGGCCUCGAGGGAGAUAGGGGCGAGCGGAACUGUGAGUGGAGCGGUGAAAUGCGCAGAUAUCAGGAAGAACACCCGUGGCUAAGGCGGUUCUCUAGUACGGUACUGACGCUGAGACGCGAAAGCGUGGGGAGCGAACAGG